rnacentral:rRNA from 1 species
GACGAACGCUGGCGGCGUGCUUAACACAUGCAAGUCGAGCGGUAAGGCCCUUUCGGGGGUACACGAGCGGCGAACGGGUGAGUAACACGUGGGUGACCUGCCCUUAGCUCUGGGAUAAGCCUGGGAAACUGGGUCUAAUACCGGAUAUGACUCCAUGACGCAUGUUGUGGGGUGGAAAGCCUUGUGCGGCUAGGGAUGGGCCCGCGGCCUAUCAGCUUGUUGGUGGGGUGAUGGCCUACCAAGGCGACGACGGGGUAGCCGGCCUGAGAGGGCGACCGGCCACACUGGGACUGAGACACGGCCCAGACUCCUACGGGAGGCAGCAGUGGGGAAUCUUGCGCAAUGGGCGAAAGCCUGACGCAGCGACGCCGCGUGA